rfam:TPA: Bos taurus chromosome 7, whole genome shotgun sequence.
UCCCUAGUGGCUCAGAUGGUAAAGCAUCUGCCUGCAAUGCAGGAGACCUAGAUUUGAUUCCUGGGUCGGGAA